GGGGGAGAGGGUUACCGUGGCUGUCAGGUCAGGGCUCACUUCGACCUUCAAACUCGGCGAGCGGAGCGAGGAAUCAAUACAGUGGCCAAGGUCAGUGCAGCGAGGAGUCACCCUGGAGGUCACACUGUCUGCACUGAUAGGAUGGUGUUAGCUGGGAGGGACUUGUAAGCUGUGUCGUUCCUUCCCAUUGAGAGUCGUCCGCUGCUGGUUUUCCUCCACUCGUGUGAAUCUUGGACUUGAUACUCACGUGAAGAAGAAAGUCAUCCGUGAUAGUUUACUCUGGGAAUCACAGCGGUAACUUGGCCACACACAAGCUGCGUCCAUCGCGUGAGAAACAAGAAGAUUAUUACACGCAAACACAAAGGGACGGAGGGGGAGAAAAAAAAAAAUCUUAGCAACACAACAUGCCUUAGCUCCACGCGCAAGUUUCUCUCGUAAAUGCGAAUACAGUGAGGCAGGGAUCUUAAAUGUAAUUCCCUGUUUUAUUUGAAAUUCAUAGCUAAAGAGAAUUGUGUAGCUGUUAAAAUAUAAAUAAGCCUUGUAAUUUGAAUUUUUA